AUGAUGGUGAUUGCAGAUAAGAUGGAAUCAGAUCUUGGUAAACUCUUCAUUGGUGGGAUAUCUUGGGGCACUGAUGAGGAACGUCUCAAGGAGUAUUUCAGGAAAUAUGGAGAAGUGGUGGAGGCAAUGAUCAUGAGAGAUCGUGUCACAGGUCGUGCCCGUGGCUUUGGUUUUGUUGUCUUUGCUGAUCCUGCAGUUGCUGAGAGGGUAAUUGUGGAUAAGCAUAUGAUUGAUGGUCGCACGGUUGAGGCAAAGAAGGCUGUUCCUAGGGACAAUCAACACAUUCUAAACAGGAACAUGAGUGGCAUCACUGGAUCUCCCAGUCCUGGACGCACAAAAAAGAUUUUUGUUGGAGGUUUAGCAUCUACGGUCACUGAGGGUGACUUUAAAAUCUACUUUGAUCAGUUUGGUACAAUUACUGAUGUUGUGGUGAUGUAUGAUCAGAACACGCAGAGGCCGAGAGGGUUUGGCUUCAUCACUUAUGAUUCAGAGGAAGCGGUAGACAGAGUCCUGUAUAAAAGAUUUCAUGAACUCAACGGGAAAUUGGUUGAGGUCAAGAGGGCAGUUCCUAAAGAACUCUCUCCAGGCCCCAGCUGCAGCCCUGUGCUUGGAUAUAAUUAUGGUUUGAGUAGGGCUGCCAACUUCCUCAAUAGUUAUGCUCAGGGAUAUAAUCUAAGCCCACUUGGAGGCUUCGGAGUCAGGAUGGAUGGUAGAUUUAAUCCUCUUGCUAGCGGUCGAAGUGGGUUUCCUCGAUUUAGUACCAGUGGCUAUGGAAUAGGUAUGAAUAUGGAACCAGGAAUGAGCCCAAGCUAUGGUGGGAGUUCCAAUUUUGGCAACAAUCUUGGAUACGGGCAGAUAAUUAGCCCCUAUUAUAGUGGGAAUUCAAACAGGUAUAACACUCCUAUUGGCUAUGAUGUUGGAAGUGGAAGAAAUGAUUCUAUUUUGAGCUCUGUUACUCAGAAUGUCUGGGGAAAUGCAGGCCUUAACAAUGUCACAAAUGCUUCCAGCCCUGGUGGUUACUUGGGGACUGGAAGUGGGAGUUUUGGUUCUUUAGGAAGUGGGGCUAAUUGGAGCCCUUCUCCUCCUGCACAAAGUGGAGGGAAUGGUUCUGGCUAUACUGGUGUGAGGGCUGGUUAUGGAAGUACUAAUGACAACUAUGGUUUGGGAGGGGGAAGAUAUGGAAGAAACAGUAGCACUGUUGCAGCUCCAACAUCAUCAUUUCCUGGGUCAACUGAAAAUUUUGAGGGGUCCUAUGGGGACCAUUAUCGCAGUGGCUCAGUUUAUGGUGACUCAACUUGGCGGUCUGCAGCUCCUGACUUAGAUGAUUCUAGCUCGUUCAGUUAUGGGCUUGGCAAUAUAUCCUCAGGUGUUACUGUAAGAACCUCUGAGGAUUAUGUUGGAAGUUACAGUAUCACAAGUAGACAGUCGAACAGAGGAAUUGCUGCCUAGGUGAUCUGUUAUUCAGAUAUCAGAAGUUAUAAUAUAGGGUGAAUGAAUUUGCGCAAGCAGGUGAAGGAUUUGUGAAUUUGAUACAACUGCCUCAUUACCAUGUCAGCUUACAAGGAAAUUGACCGUAUAGCACUAACGCGGGUUAUUGAUUUGAAAUAUACAUAUUCAGAGUUCCUUUCUUGGCAUUUGAGUGAGGUGUAAAAUCAGAUCAUGGGAUAUAUACACCAGAAGGUGGGUUCCAAUUAAUGCACCAUGCAUCUCCAGCAAGGCAUGCCAGUAGUGGUACAUCAAACAAUAGGGUAUUAAUCGUUUUUCCUUUUUCCUUCUAAAUUUUUUCAGCUGCUGUAAUGCCUGGCAUAUUUGCAGGUUCUUGUCCCUAUAUUUUCUUCAUAUUAUCUGGGUUUUUCUCUCAGAUUACAAGGAGUUUCUGUUCAAUUUACUAAUGUGAAACAUUAGAGGGAUAUCCAUAUAAAAUUCCGAUCAAAUAAGUUACAAAAUAUUUUGAUUUAUUUUUUAUUAGACACUACAUCAAAGAGAUUUGACCCUUAGACGGAUAUUAAGUGAUUGCAUGAACUAAUUGGGUUAAACCUUGGGAUCACGUCAAACAUCUUUACUCAUGGUAUAUUUGAUAACUGUUUGCUUUUUUCUGCUAAACUCUUCGUCAGUUGCUUUCGACAUCUCUUUUUCUUACAUUGUCAUAUAAAAAACUUGAGAGUCAUUUGCAUCCUAUUAGGUUAUUAGAGACUUGAUUCCUAUGGCUGUGAUAUACGGAUAUGAUCGAAGUUUGGACUUUUUUAUUUGUCUGCAAUGCUAUAAUUCUGCAUUAACUGCCAUUCUAGUUGUAUUUUUCAGAGGUUUCCAUCUGCUGAUAAACAUUCAGUUAUUUGUUAUCAAUGGCCAUCCU